rnacentral:rRNA from 1 species
CCUACGGGAGGCAGCAGUGAGGAAUAUUGGUCAAUGGACGAGAGUCUGAACCAGCCAAGUAGCGUGAAGGAUGAAUGCCCUAUGGGUUGUAAACUUCUUUUAUAAAGGAAUAAAACGAGGCACGUGUGCCCUUUUGCAUGUACUUUAUGAAUAAGGAUCGGCUCACUCCGUGCCAGCCGACGCGGUAAUACGGAGGAUCCGAGCGUUAUCCGGAUUUAUUGGGUUUAAAGGGAGCGUAGAUGGGUUGUUAAGUCAGUUGUGAAAGUUUGCGGCUCAACGGUAAAAUUGCAAUUGAUACUGGCAGUCUUGAGUACAGUUGAGGUAGGCGGAAUUCGUGGUGUAGCGGUGAAAUGCUUAGAUAUCACGAAGAACUCCGAUUGCGAAGGCAGCUUACUAAACUGCCACUGACAUUGAUGCUCGAAAGUGUGGGUAUCAAACAGGAUUAGAUACCCGGGUAGUC